rnacentral:rRNA from 1 species
CCUACGGGAGGCAGCAGUAGGGAAUAUUGGGCAAUGGGCGCAAGCCUGACCCAGCGACGCCGCGUGAGGGAUGAAGGCCUUCGGGUUGUAAACCUCUUUCAGUAGGGAAGAAGCGAAAGUGACGGUACCUAAAGAAGAAGCACCGGCUAACUAUGUGCCAGCAGCCGCGGUAAUACAUAGGGUGCAAGCGUUGUCCGGAAUUAUUGGGCGUAAAGAGCUCGUAGGUCGUUUGCCGCGUCGAUUGUGAAAAUCUGAGGCUCAACCUCAGACCUGCAGUCGAUACGGGCAAACUAGAGUGUGGUAGGGGAGACUGGAAUUCCUGGUGUAGCGGUGGAAUGCGCAGAUAUCAGGAGGAACACCAAUGGCGAAGGCAGGUCUCUGGGCCAUAACUGACACUGAGGAGCGAAAGCGCGGGGAGCGAACAGGAUUAGAUACCCUGGUAGUCCGCGCCGUAAACGAUGGGCACUAGCUGUGAGAGCCUUCCACGGUUCUCGCGACGCAGCAAACGCAUUAAGUGCCCCGCCUGGGGAGUACGAUCGCAAGACUAAAACUCAAAGGAAUUGACGG